UACGUAGGUGGCAAGCGUUGUCCGGAAUUAUUGGGCGUAAAGCGCGCGCAGGCGGCCUCUUAAGUCUGAUGUGAAAGCCCCCCGGCUCAACCGGGGAGGGCCAUUGGAAACUGGGAGGCUUGAGUAUAGGAGAGAAGAGUGGAAUUCCACGUGUAGCGGUGAAAUGCGUAGAGAUGUGGAGGAACACCAGUGGCGAAGGCGACUCUUUGGCCUAUAACUGACGCUGAGGCGCGAAAGCGUGGGGAGCAACCAGG
rnacentral:rRNA from 1 species